rnacentral:lncRNA from 1 species
UCCAUCGCCUCACAAAUUCUCUGAGCUGGAUUAGGCCGUUUCCUUGCAGUUGGAUUAUGUAUCCAUGAAGUGAAAAAAUCUCUCUCUCUGACGGGCAUGUUAAUAAGCAGUGAGACUCAGAAACACCAACAGAACACGGUGGACGAAAGAGAGACAGAAGGAUAAGAGAACAGAGAAAUCGGAUAACAAGCUCACAAAACAAAAACAAAAAAAAAACCCAAACCAAUAGCUGACUUUUUUUAAACGAAAUGUCGGCACAAUAAUAGAAUCACAAAAUCAUAAAAGAGAAAGUUGCGCUUCUAAGUUUACAGCUUCAGUCGAGUUUUCACAUCGUCUCAAAAAACCUAUACCACACCUGUGUAUACAGAUGGAGACCCAAACAUCAGUCCUGCUCUAUGAAGGUGUUCAGAGGCUUUUCUGAAAAUACAUGUGAAGACAUAUGAUAGAAUUGCCUAAAAUCGCUAUUUAAGGAGCAGCAGAAUCAACUUAUCAACAUGCAAAUAUAAGUAGAAAGCCCAACAAGUAAAGGUGCGUGUUAGAUGUGUUGAAAAGUAACAAAACAAAAAAGUCAUGGUGCCUCUUUGCAGAGAAUUUACAGUUUGUGGGUGU